UACGUAGGUGGCGAGCGUUAUCCGGAAUGAUUGGGCGUAAAGGGUGCGCAGGCGGCGCAUUAAGUUUGAAGUAAAAGGUAGCGGCUCAACCGCUGCAAGCUUCGAAAACUGGUGUGCUGGAGUGCAGGAGAGGGCAGUGGAAUUCCAUGUGUAGCGGUAAAAUGCGUAGAUAUAUGGAGGAACACCGGUGGCGAAGGCGGCUGCCUGGCCUGUAACUGACGCUGAGGCACGAAAGCGUGGGGAGCAAAUAG
rnacentral:rRNA from 1 species